rnacentral:misc_RNA from 1 species
AACGCAUAUUGCGCCUAGUGGUAUUCCAUUAGGCAUGUUUGUUUGAGCGUUAUUACAACAUCUCAGCAUUAAAGCUGGUUAUGGGCUUCUGUUUUUUUUCAUAAAACAGGCUUUAAAGUUGCAUGUUCUGCAGGCUGCUUUUGCUAAAUCAAAAACAUAGUACUAUUUCUUGUUUUCUAGUGAGGCAUUGCAUUUGUCUGCCUGAAUAUAAAAAAUUUCUAAGGUUUAACCUCAGAUCAGACAAGAAUACCCGCUGAACUUAA